rnacentral:rRNA from 1 species
CUGCUGCCUCCCGUAGGAGUUUGGGCCGUGUCUCAGUCCCAAUGUGGCCGGUCACCCUCUCAGGUCGGCUACUGAUCGUUGCCUUGGUGAGCCGUUACCUCUCCAACUAGCUAAUCAGACGCGGGUCCAUCUCAUACCACCUCAGUUUUUCACACCAAACCAUGCGGUUUUGUGCGCUUAUGCGGUAUUAGCAGUCAUUUCUAACUGUUAUCCCCCUGUAUGAGGCAGGUUACCCACGCGUUACUCACCCGUCCG